rnacentral:tRNA from 1 species
UCCUCAGUAGCUCAGUGGCAGAGUAGUCAACUAUUAACAGAUUGGUCGUAGGUUCCAAACCUACUUGGGGAG